ensembl:lncRNA
GCUGGAGCAUGCUGAAGGAGCCGGUCCCGGUCGCCGGACCGCUCAGACCGGCCCGUGCGGGCCCGCACAGCACUCGGUCACACUAAAGCCGCAGCUGGCUCCCUCUGCACGACCGGCUCGGACACGCCAGACCGGUCAGACCGGCCCCUGGGGACCCCCACAACACUUGGUCACACUAAAGCCGCAGCUGGAGGCCUCUGCAGGACCGGCUCGGGCUUGCCAGACCGGUCGGCCCAGCCCCUGCGUGCCCCACAGGACUCGGUCUCACUGCAGGUGCGGCUGGAGGCCUGUACAGGACAGUCUCAGGCUUGCUGGACCGGUCAACCCAACCCCUGCGUGCCCCACAGGACUCGGUUUCAUUGCAGGUGCGGCUGCAGGCCUCUGCAGGACCGGCUCGGGCUCUCCGGAACGGUCAGCCCCGGCCCCUGCGUGCCCCC